UGGCCCAGAUCGUUUACCGUGAAAAAAUUAGAGUGUUCAAAGCAGGCAGAUCCAAUUUUCUGCCACCGAAUACAUUAGCAUGGGAUAAUGGAAUAGGACCCUGUCCUCCUAUUUUCAGUUGGUUUUGGCAGCGCGAGGACUAGGGUAAUGAUUAAUAGGGAUAGUUGGGGGCAUUAAUAUUUAAUUGUCAGAGGUGAAAUUCUUGGAUUUAUGAAAGAUUAACUUCUGCGAAAGCAUCUGCCAAGGAUGUUUUCAUUAAUCAAGAACGAAAGUUAGGGGAUCGAAGACGAUCAGAUACCGUCGUAGUCUUAACCAUAAACGAUGCCGACCAGCGAUUAGGAGACGUUGAAUACAAAACACCACCAUCGGUGCGGUCGUCCUUGGCGUCUCGGUUUCGGCCGGGGUGCGGGGACGGCUUAGCCCGGUGGCACCGGUGAAUGACUCCCCUAGCAGCUUGUGAGA
rnacentral:rRNA from 1 species